CAAAUUCAUUAUAAUGAAUGGGGAGCAGGGCUAAAAUAUACAGUUUGUUCAAAGGAUCUUAAAUGUUUAUUGUUACUGGGUUUAUUAGUUCUUUUUUCAUCAAUUUAUUUUUUGAUUCAUUAAAGUUAAAUGAAUUGUGUCAGGGAUUAUAAACAGCCUGAUAUGGGUCAGUCGACAUAUCAUUGAGUGUUAAGCAGAGUUAAUUAUUCAAAGUUACUAUAUCUAGAAAAUAUUUAAAAUUUAACUAAUGGUUUGACAGACUCAUCACAUUCUUCCUUAAAGAUUUUAUACUAAGUAAACUACAAGGGACAAGAAUUCUCAAGCUUGUACAUGCCACAGUGAAUAUCUUUUCUGCUUUCCAGUUACAGAAGCUUGCAGUAUAACCUGGAAUGAAAAUUUAAAGGUAGCAAUAUGGACCUUCACUUGGAUGAUGGCUCUGAAGAUAGAGGAAAAAGGAUGCUAGGUAUAUUGAAAGAAUCACCAAAAUCCAGGGGCAGGUCACGGUAUCCAGCAAUGCCUUGGAUGACCUUGAUUUCUCCGAUGCCUGAUCAAGCUAUAAGCUCUCUAUUAUACCUGCUUCAGCCAGCUUCACAGCCUUGGAACAAAUUGUUCUCAUCCAUUCAUUCAUUCUGCUGAAAGAUGUCUUCAUAUGCUUGGAGUAUAUCUCUCCCUUACUCACUUGGAUUUAAGGACCACCACUUACCUCAACUUGUUUUAGCUUGUCUGCUAAGAUGAUUUCACUGGGGUGGAGUCCACAGCACAUGCUACAUCUUAAGAGAGCUUAGUAUGAUAAAUAUCAAAGAUAGAUGAGCAGUCUUGAAAAGAGCUCCACAAGUCCUCAUGCCAGAGGUGUUAGUCUUUCUUUGACAUCCCAUGUACCCCAAAGAUUUUGGAUUUAUUUACUGGUGUACACAUUUCUUCUCUUUAGUAGAUUGUUAGUACUUCAAGGAUAAGGGCUAUUUUCAUUUUUUUAAUCUUUGUUUCCCCAAAAUCUAGUCAAAUACACACACAGAACAUAUUGUCAAGUGUUAGGUGUUAUUUCACUUAAUAAAAGUUUGCUAAGUGAAUCUCUAAAGCCACAAAUUGGUUUCCAUGUUUAUUGGUGUUAAGUUUAAAAAUAUAGAGAUGUGAUAUGAUAAGAAUGCACAAAAUUUAAUUUUUGAAAUGACUUGGAACCUAUUAAAAUAUUUUUGGAAAGUAAGAUAAUGUUUAGAGUGAACACUUAACUAAAAGAUAAAGAUAAUAAAUUUAUACUGGCUAUUUGAUAUUUUGUAUAUGGAAGACAUAUUCCACUGGAUUUAGGAAACAUGGAUUUUACUAUUAAUCCUAUCACUACUAAAAUGACUCUGGGCAACUUAAUCCAUAUCUCUGGAUUUCAGUUUUCAAUAUAUUUAAUACAUAGAUUGGGUUAAAUAGUGGCUAAGAUCUCUUUCAGUUCUUAACAGUCUAUAGUUUUUAGAUUUUCUAUAUUAGUAGUACCAUAAGAAAACCUUGGAGUAAACGUGAUAGAUAUAUCUGAAUAUCCUAAAAUUUAUGUUUGAAAUUGUUUAAUAUGUCAAGAGGAGAAAAAAAGUCAGGUGAUCAGCAAAAUAAUAUUUCCCUGGACUUCAUUAUUUCCUGAAAUGCAUCAUUAUGCAAAAUUUAAUAAAUUCAG